UACGGGGGGGGCAAGCGUUGUUCGGAAUUACUGGGCGUAAGGGCUCGUAGGCGGCCAACUAAGUCGGAUGUGAAAUCCCCAGGCUUAACCUGGGAACUGCAUCCGAUACUGGAUGGCUUGAAUUCGGGAGAGGGAUGCAGAAUUCCAGGUGUAGCGGUGAAAUGCGUAGAUAUCUGGAGGAAUACCGGUGGCGAAGGCGGCAUCCUGGACCGACAUUGACGCUGAGGAG
rnacentral:rRNA from 1 species